AAGUGGGGAGUGGGGGAGAGUUUAGAGGGUGAGCUGUGCAGAGCAGAGGAGAGAAGCUGUGUAGAAGUCAUCUCCUGUAACAUGUGUGCCAUGUUCUGUUUGCUGGAGAACGGAGGAACAAAGGUGUCACUGACAACUGACUGAGUCAACCCCAGACAGAGGGAGGACAGAGGAGUUAGAGGAAACCUGUGAUUAGAAUGGGCUCUGAAUAUUUUAGAUCUGCAUCCCAGGAGUCACUGGCACAGCCCGCAAAGGCAUAGGAAAUAGGAAUGGGAAAACCUCAGAAGGUUUCAAGUUCACAUUCAGGUCAGAGAAGCAUAUGAAAGACUGAAUGCUUGCCGUGGUUGCUGUUAAAAAGUUAUUUGCCAAGUCUCUGAUUCAGCAAACCACACCUAUUCAGCAAAGUACUUAAUGUGAAGCACAUGCUUAAGUAUUUUGCUAACAAAGGUUGGACUUAAGCAUGCAUUGCCGUGCUUUGCUCAAUUGGUGCCCAAGUUACUAUGCAGUGAUAUCUGAAGUAUCACAACUUUAUAGAACUAGGAGGAAUAGGAAAUAAAUAAAGGUGACUGAAUAAAAUGUCAUUUAAAAAAAAUAAAGUAUUCAACAAAUGGUUUUCAACCCUGAAUCGAGGGCAUCCUCUCUGAACCCAGGGAACUUUGAGGAAGUUUGCAUCUGAAGCUGAACUUUGAAGCUCAUUUGUACAAUAAUGUGGCUCUGCACACAGGGAUCCAUGAUAAAGCAUCAGAUCAUGGGAUCAGACCCAGAGUCUUCACACUUGUUUGAUGUAUCUUAUUUUAACCGAAACGUUUCAUCCCUCACCACUCCAAAAUUGCUCUAUAACAAAUUCUGCUCUAUAAAGAUUUAGUCCGUUAAAUCAGGGUGCUGCUGAGAUACUUUCUAAAGAACAGUUGUUGUGAUUUUUAAAAAGAUGGGAAAUCUGAUGGUAAUAUUAUGGUUUGAGUGUAUUGGGCAAGGUGAUA